rnacentral:rRNA from 1 species
GAUGAACGCUGGCGGCGUGCCUAAUACAUGCAAGUCGAGCGAACGGACGAGAAGCCUGCUUCUCUGAUGUUAGCGGCGGACGGGUGAGUAACACGUGGAUAACCUACCUAUAAGACUGGGAUAACUUCGGGAAACCGGAGCUAAUACCGGAUAAUAUUUUGAACCGCAUGGUUCAAAAGUGAAAGACGGUCCUGCUGUCACUUAUAGAUGGAUCCGCGCUGCAUUAGCUAGUUGGUAAGGUAACGGCUUACCAAGGCAACGAUGCAUAGCCGACCUGAGAGGGUGAUCGGCCACACUGGAACUGAGACACGGUCCAGACUCCUACGGGAGGCAGCAGUAGGGAAUCUUCCGCAAUGGGCGAAAGCCUGACGGAGCAACGCCGCGUGAGUGAUGAAGGUCUUCGGAUCGUAAAACUCUGUUAUUAGGGAAGAACAUAUGUGUAAGUAACUGUGCACAUCUUGACGGUACCUAAUCAGAAAGCCACGGCUAACUACGUG